ACGUAGGUGGCGAGCGUUGUCCGGAAUCACUGGGCGUAAAGGGCGCGUAGGCGGUUUCACAAGUCGCAUGUGAAGGACCAGGGCUUAACUCUGGGGGGUCAUGCGAAACUGUGAGGCUUGAGUGCAGUAGAGGAAAGCGGAAUUCCUGGUGUAGCGGUAAAAUGCGUAGAGAUCAGGAGGAACACCGGUGGCGAAGGCGGCUUUCUGGGCUGCAACUGACGCUGAUGCGCGAAAGCGUGGGGAGCAAACAG
rnacentral:rRNA from 1 species